rnacentral:sRNA from 1 species
GCAAGAACGACAAAUAGAUAUGUAGAGCAAAAGCG